UAAAAUAAAUUUCAUUUAAAUUAAAAUAAAUAAAACUCGUCCCCAAGCCGGCGCGUCUGCCCAAAAACAAGAACUUAGACAAAGCGCAGACACAUCCAUAAUAGUCGGAUACCAACCAGUACGCAACACCAAAACUUCCAAUUCCCCAGAAUGGCACGGCUGCAGAUGAAACUGUCUGGACAUCGAAGAAAAAGCAUUCAUUAGGCCGAAUGCAGUCUAUGCAUUUUAAUUGAUUGCCAGCCGUCUUUGUCGGCUUUAUUUUUGGC
ensembl:ncRNA lncRNA:CR45443 long non-coding RNA:CR45443